rnacentral:piRNA from 1 species
CAUUCAACAAACUUUUUAGGGGGUCUUAAA